AUUGAACGCUGGCGGCAGGCCUAACACAUGCAAGUCGAACGAGUGGCGGACGGGUGAGUAAUGUCUGGGAAACUGCCUGAUGGAGGGGGAUAACUACUGGAAACGGUAGCUAAUAACGCAUACCAUCGGAUGUGCCCCGCUGGGAUUAGCUAGUAGGUGGGGUAAAGGCUCACCUAGGCGACGAUCCCUAGCUGGUCUGAGAGGAUGACCAGAAACAAUGGAACUGAGAAACGGUCCAGACUCCUACGGGAGGCAGCAGUGGGGAAUAUUGCACAAUGGGCGCAAGCCUGAUGCAGCCAGGCCGCGUGUAUGAAGAAGGCCGUCGGGUUGUAAAGUACUUUCAGCGGGGAGGCGGGACCCGCAGAAGAAGCACCGGCUAACUCCGUGCCAGCAGCCGCGGUAAUUC
rnacentral:rRNA from 1 species